GGCACUGUGGCUUAGUUGACUAAAGCACCAGUCUUGAGAACCGGAGGUCCUGGGUUCGAAUCCCAGCAGUGCCU